ensembl:lncRNA
CACCGCGGCCCAGCCGCUCACAUCGCGCCCCUCGCGGCGCGGCCCCCCCGGCCCUGCGGCCCCCCGCGCUGCGGUCGCGCUCCGCUGGGGCCCCCUUCAGCGCCGGGCGAGCGCGCGGCCGCCGCAGGUGUCAGGCAGCGGCCCGCCGCACCCCCACCCUCCUCCUCACGCGGCGGAGCCGGGCCGGGGGACGGUGUAGGGCUGGGUCCCCUCGAGGCGCGGGGGAAGCGGCGCCUCGGGAAGAAAGGCGCUGUCCCUCCCGGCAGAGACCCCGCGGCGGCUCGUCCGCAGGCCCGGGCGGGAGGGGAGAAGAGGGGAAGGAACGCGGCAGCGCGGCCGGGCCCAGGCGGCGACGCUGAGGCGACGAGACGCGACGGUCGCUUACCGGCCGCGGCUCUGCUCCGCUCCGCUCCACACGCCGACGACGCCUCCCGGCCGGGCCGGCGCCCGCUGCUCGCGAGGAGGCCCCGCAGAGGGGGCCCGGCAGGGGCAGGCCGCGAGCCCCGGCGCGUGGCGGCGCGAGCGCUCCGCCGCGCCUCCAGCUCGGCCGCCGCCGCACCCCGCCCCGCGCGCGGCCCCACCGCCGCCUCGCGCCGCCGCCGCGCCGCGCUCUGCCCGGGUCCUUCUCCCCCGCACAAGCUUGGCGGCGUCUGGCGAGCGGCUGCUCCCAUUGGCCGCAGCCUUGCGCGAGGUCGGGCGCCCUCGGCACGCCGUUGGCUGCGCCCCGUGUGUGUACACAUGCCGCCCGCCAAUCCGAGGGGUCUCUGCGAGGGGGGCGGGGCGGAAGGGCGGUGCGCGGGCCACCUCCUGCCCGGGCGGCUCCUCGGUGGCGGCUGCGUCUGGCGCCGCGCCCCGCGGGGGCUGGGACGGAGGCCCGGUCUCCAGGGCUCGGCCCGUCCCACCUGCAGGCAGCUGCCGCUGCGACGGAACCGCUGCUACCGGUGGCAAACGCGGGCCGUGCACCGAACGGCUCCGCCGAUCGUCCCCAGGGUCGGGGCCCACGCGGCAGCACGGCCCAGCGGGGAAGCGCUUCGAAGCUGGAGCUGCCCGCGGGCCCGGGCACCGGACGCGCUUAGAGAACAUGAACGGGAAGCGCUGACGAGAGCAGAAAGAGCACAACUGAAAAAGAAGCAUCAGAAGCAGGCUGUAAAACAGGGUUCCUAAACUAAGGAGCAGGAACCGUAUGUCUAUUUCCGUGGGACAGUUCACAACUGGUUAUUAAUCACAGGCCCAGGAAUGUGCUGACCGUAUGCUUUGUUUCUUUUCAUCCUCUACGAAAUACUCUGUCACACGCAACAAGACCUUUAUCAAUACUUGCAGUUACAUAAGAAACUUAAAUGAAAGCAUUAAAAAACCAUAUGCAAAAUGGAGCGUUCCGUUGACUAGCUGCCAAGGCCUCAGGCAGCACAGAGGCAUUGCAGCAGGCCCUGCUGGCUGCGGGAGGCUCUGCCGCCGAAAAAAAGGAAGCAGAACAGAAGGGAGCCAGGGUGUCUGGCUUCCUGCACUCUUCCUAAGUUACACGUGCUAAACCCAGAUCUGAACUCAAGUAUCGCCUCAAUAAAAAGUCAUUUAUGUCUUAAAUUAAAACUUCUUUUUAGUUCAUUUGGUUAUUUUUAUGCAAUGCUUACAAACUUAAGUCAGGUGCUAUGAUUACAAACAUGAAAAAGGCGGAAAGGAGAUGGACAGUGACUGCCAUAGCUGGCAUUGGCUUUCAGCCACCUGCAGAAUGAGCUGUCUCAGUUUGCACACACACUGCUCAGUUCAAAGUUGCUGAAACGAUCGGUUUGCAAUAAGUGUACCACUUCUGUAAGGUUCUAAACCAAUCUGCUCUCUCUCAGAACUUACAUAAAUCCCAAACUCAGUCUCAGAAUGAGAUCCACAUUGAAAACUUUGCUGUAACUGGUUCCUUAGCUGUGCAAAGGCAUGAGGGUGAGCGAUUUCUUAAAGUAAGACCCACAUUUAGGAAGCUCUGAUGCUGCCCUCUGGAAAUGGUUGGUGGUCUCAAAGCCUCAGCACAACACUGUGCUCCCCCUGGCUGGUUGUUCCUUUCCAGAUCAUCUCCCCCUUUCCCUUUUCAUAACGUAUUACUUUGCACUGUUUGCUGAUUUCAGUGCUUUGCGAGCCCACAACCCGUGCUGUGAUACCAACGCUAACCCAUAACCCCCACACCCAACAUUUCUCCUGAAUAGUGAGCUGAACUUGCCUGUCUCACUAUAAAACCUCAAACUAAAAUGUAGCCCAACCUCUGGGUCAGAACACCACCAUACUCCGACCUGCAGUACCGAUGCAUCUGUUUGAAGAGGAAAUGACAACUCUGCCUGUACCUCUGGGCUCAGAACGGUACGAGAAAAAACAACACAACAAAAACAACAUUUAAAAAACCUAUCUGUGUUUCAUGCUGCACUGACUGGCAAGAAAUGGUUCUUACCUUAUUUUCACAAGGCUGCUGUUCAAAUGGUGAGUCCGAGCUGCUCCCUGAGCCUGAGUACACGGCGCGAGCUGAAGGGUCUUGCUACACAGACCACAACAAAAAGAAGCUAGCAGACUGAAACAGCAAUUCACUANGCACAUCUGCUUUUGUUUCUCAUCUUAAUUUCGUGCUAAUCCCGAGGCACCACAAAAAUGCCAUCACACAGCUGGGUCAUAUGCUUCCUUACAAAGUCAAUCAAAACGUGCCAGCAGGCUACCACCAAGACAAUAUCUUGGUACGCAGUCAAUUUCCCAUGUCCCCUCUAAAUAAUGAUUUUACUCUUCUUAGAAACACCUAGGGAAAUGUUUGUCCCUUUUUAGAUUCCUCAAUGGUUAACAUAUCAGAGCUUUUUAAGAUGAGAUGGGAGAUGAGUUCCUCAGUAGAAAACACAUCAUAGGAAAAAACUCCCAACAUAUAAAGCGUGGUUUCAAGCAGUUGGGCCACCCAAAGGGGGUCACUGAAGGGACACAAACGCUGCAUCUGGACUACAGCUGUUGUGAGGAUGAUAUGAAGGUUCACUAUGGAGUGGUAAGUUAUCCAACAGCACAAAGGUUACCGAAGGACCUUAUAACUUUUAUAUACCGUUGCAAAUUUCAGUUACAAUUUUAACCAUUCUGUUAACUAAAAAAUCUUAUAAUUUGGUUCCUUCUACCUCCAAAAUGUCAAUUUCUACCAGUGCAAGGAGCGUUUCACCGCUUGCAUCCAGGUGUCCAUAGCAGGUUUGUAUUCCUCCUUGUCCUUCUGGGGCUCAAAAACUGUUUCUAUUCGCCUCAGUUUCUUUAGCUGUUCUUUGUCAGUCCAAAGUCCUAUAAACAGAAAGUUCAUUCUCAAGCUCAACUACAAAUGUGUUAUUUUUGAGUUGUUUUAAUUUACUUACAAGAGAUCCAAACCAGAAACACAAUAAGAAAUCAUGACAGCUUUUCUUUACUUAACCAACAACUUUCUCAGAGGGAAGCNAAGCAGACAUUACAGUUUUAGAAGUGUUCUAAAAGUUGGGCUCUUAGAAGGAACACUGACAAGGACGGUAAUCAUUUCUAUUAGCUUAUACAACGGUCUGUUUUCAGUGACACUGAUUAAUAGAUCCCAACAAAAAUUCUAAUGCUCACUAAGUUGUCUUUUUUGUACUGGAGGACAGAUUGAUAAAUCUCCCCUCCACUUCUUUGACAAACUUUAUCACAAGGAAUUAGUUUGCUGGUCCUACCUGGUUUGUGACAAUGUUAAGUCUUAUUUUCACUACAGACAGCACUUUUCAACUUGAAACAAUUCUUCCUAGUUUCACUGUGUUAUGUACUAGUUAUGACAACAUUUAAUGAAAGCUCG